GCAAUUGGACAGAAACGCUCAACUGUGGCACAAUUAGUUCAAAUUCUUUCCGAAGCGAAUGCUUUGGAAUAAGUGGAUCAUUACUUUUUGACAAGCAAAAAAAGUCAUACACCUAUUAAAUAGAAGUAUACUAGUAACGAAGCAGGCUAAUGGCUCAUUGUGAUAUGUGAGUAUGUAGGUAAUUUUGUAAUCGUUCCUUACAAUGAAAUGAUUUGCAUUAAAACGUGAAUUAUCUUGAGAAGUACCUAUUUGCAUAAACGAUGAUGUGGUAAAUAAUGUUUCUCUGAUUUCGAUCCUCGUAGGUUGCGGACUCAUUGUGCCACGGAACCCUAUAUAAUAGCAACAAACCGGCAACUGAGUGAGAUGCACCCAAUCUACAAGUUGCUGCACCCGCACUUCCGGUACACGAUGCAGAUCAAUGCGCUGGCUCGCGGGUUUCUGAUCAAUGGCGACGGGAUCAUCGAGAGCUCCUUCUCUCCCGGCAAGUAUUCCAUGGAGCUCAGCGCCGUCGCCUAUGACAAGCAGUGGCAAUUCGACUUACAAGGCUUGCCCAAUGACUUAAUUAGCAGGUAUUAUACAUCAAUUAAUUACUUGCACACCUCUUUUUUCUUUUUCUUUUUUUCCCCCUUAUUAACGUGAAGAACAUAAAAAUCGUUGGCACAUGGAGCGUUCUCAAGCUUUUCUGUUCGUGUCAAUUCUUGCCAGGGGAUUGGCAGUGGAAGACCCGACGGCACCCCAUGGCCUCAGGCUAGCGAUCGAGGACUACCCCUUCGCCAACGAUGGCCUCCUCUUGUGGGACGCCAUCAAGGAGUGGGUCACCGACUACGUCAGCCACUACUACCCCGACCCAAGCCGCAUUGCGUCGGACAAGGAGCUCCAGUCCUGGUGGACUGAGAUCCGGACCGUCGGCCAUGGUGACAAGAAAGACUCCCCCGGGUGGCCCGACCUCAAGACCCCGUCCGACCUCGUCCACAUUAUCACCACCAUGGUCUGGGUCACCUCCGGCCACCAUGCUGCUGUCAACUUUGGCCAGUACACCUAUGCCGGUUACUUCCCGAACCGGCCCACCAUCGCCCGAACCAAGAUGCCCGUCGAGGACCCGACCGAGGAAGAGCUCAAGAUCUUCUGGGACAAGCCUGAAACCACACUCCUCACGUGCUUCCCGUCACAGAUACAGGCGACCAAGGUGAUGGCAAUCCUCGACGUGCUGUCGAACCACUCGCCAGAUGAGGAGUAUCUGGGACAGGAUCCGGAACCAGCGUUGAAAGAGGAGCCGGCGAUAAAGACAGCAUUCGAGAGGUUCAGCGGGAGGCUGAAGGAGCUUGAGGGCAUCAUCGACAAGAGGAACACCGACCAAAGGUUUAAGAAUCGAAGUGGAGCCGGGAUCGUGCCGUACGAACUCUUGAAGCCAUUCUCCGAGCCAGGCGUGACAGGGAAGGGAGUUCCAUACAGCAUUUCUAUCUGAGCAAACGACAUUCUUGUUCGUGGUGGCGACCACAUUGGCUGCGGAGAGAGAACUUCUCUCUCUGUUUUGUAGAAGAAGAGAGAGCGUGGUAUAUGCGGAUGAUAAUGUGGUCAUCCUAAUUUGUUAACAUUUUUUAUUUUAAUUUCAUGAUCUAAUUUGUCGUUUUACCAAUAUCUAUGGAAUUAUGAUUAAAUGAUUAAUUUCAGUUCUAGUCCUCUAUCAAUUGCCAAAAGAAAGCAAGUGACGAAGUGCAUAAAACGUUAUCUUCAUUACAUCUAUCUUCCCCAUAGAUACCAUAUUCCACUACUGUUACAUACUAAUACAGAAUUUAAAAACUUGGGUACAAGGUCAGUUCAAUAGAUUAGCUAAACAUGCUUCUCAGCCACAAGCAAGAGACAAGAGGCAUGCACUUCCAGCAAGCAAAUUGAUGAGGGUAAAAAUUAAAUGGAUUAUAUGGAGUUAUUAAUGCCAGCAUCAUGCAAGUCCAGUUUUGCAUGCACUCUUAGAUCAGGCAGUUCCGUCAACAUAUCCAAUUAUGGGCCAAUUAUGAUAUAUUAAUCAUUUCACACACCUUUUAUAUGAUGUGAGAUUUUCCUAACAUAACUUAUACGUACAUCUUAACAAAAAGGUGAUUGGCCAGAGUUUGACUACCACAACUAAAAAGGUGAGGAAUAAAAUCAAGAAAGUCAUUCAAAACUAAACAUUUAGAAUUUUCCCACCUAAACAUUUUUUCUCUCAUUUUUCUCAAACACUUACUUAAGUAUCAGAGAGUUCUAUUGAGAAAAUUUUAGGAGACUUUAUUUUUCGUGCACAAUGAUACAAUGUAGAAGAAGAUCAAUCUAGUUUGAAGCUCAUCUUAAACAUCCGCAUCAAAUAUCCUUUUCUUGUAUUUUACAUGAGGCACAAUCGAUAAAAAAAAAAUUCUUUCCACAAGUAGACUUGAGAUUGUACCGUGAAUGUGCUUAAUAAGGUGCUAUUUGUUUCACAAAAAAUUCUUAUUAGAAAACAUUUUCUGAUAUUUAGGUUGCUUAGAAAGAUGAGUCUAUAGAAGAUAUCUUCAUAGUCAACGAAAAACAUAUACUUAGACUUAGGAAAAUAAUUUCUCUUUUAAAAAUCAAAAAUCAUUUUCUAAAAUACAACUAGAUAUUGACGUUUGCACUAGAGUUUUUGCACUUGGGCACGAGAACCCCAUUGCCUAUGCCAUUACAUACCAAUGCCUAUGCAUGAGUCCUCGACGGCCAUACAUCGAAUUCCAUGCCCAAGUCACAGUGCUUGGGCCGAGGUUGAUCAAGGCCGAGCUAGGUUCCUCAUCGAUCAUGGUUGGGUUAACAAAGGCUAGGGCCCAAGACCCAAUUCCCAUGCUUGGGUGCUCGACUCCUUUGGCCAUGUGAUUGAUGCUGGGGCCAAGUCUCUUGAGGCUAGCUUGAGGCUCUAAUGCCCAUGCUUGGGUCCCCGACGGCUGUGCAUGGAGAUCAAUGCUUGUGCUAGAAUCCACAGCAACCAUGUUGUGGUGUUAUGAUUAAAUAUGCAAUGUAGAGAGAUGAAUAGGUUACUAAUCAAAAGUUGAUGUAUUCUUGCAAAUAUGUGAACAAUUAUAUAUAUAGGAGUAAACUGAUGAUAUCAAGUACAAUGUGUUACUAUUAUCUUGACACCUAAUUUAGGAUUAAACUUAUUUUUUAGAAAAUAAAAAUAGAGGAUAAUAAAUAAUAUAUAAAAUAAAACAUCUAAAGGGAGAUUUUGGAAAUUUUUGAAUAAUGAAACAUUUUUUUUUGUUGAACAUAUCUCCUCAUUUCAAAAUUAAAAAAUUCAGCGGUUGAGUGAUUUUGGAGUCAUUUUUCUUGUUGAGUGAUUGAGUGAAUAUGUGUAAUUAUAUUGAAAAAUCUUCAACAACUUUGAGUUUUUCUCUCUAAAUAAAGAAUGCGAGGCUUCGGAACCAGGGGCUUCUCUCGGUUUCGAGGUCAAGAAAAAUUCGACAAAAAAGAGAGAAAAGCUUUCGUGCUCUUUUCGAGGGAAAAGAAAAGUCAGCAAAGAAACAGCGAAGAGAAGAAGACAGAGAGAGGGAAAUGACGUGAGAGAGACGUGAGGAGAGAGGAUACAGUGAGAGGUGAGAGAGGCUGACGUGAAGUAACGUUCGACCAGAAAAAAAAAAGAAAAGGGGAGGCAGCGACUGUUCAUCUUCUCCGCGAGGGCCCCCGACGCGCCGGCCCUGCGCUCGCACCGGUCACUGCGCCGGCACCGCCUCCGCCAGCCGCUACCGCGCUUCCGCCACCGCGCGUCCGCCACAGCCGCUUCGCCGGUCUCCCCACGAAGCUCGCCGCGACGACCUGGCGCCGCGCCUCGCUCACCGACGCUCCCUGCAACCCGCCGAUCCCCGCGAUGCUGCACCAGCCUGAGAACUUGUACCGGCCGCCGCACCAACAACCCUUCAGCAGAUCGCCUCCGCCUGCAACCCACCCCUGUUGCCGACGCCUGUAGCUCACACCGACCCGCGACCCAGCUGCUCGCCGGUCACUAUCGUCCCCUCUCGCCAGUCACCGUACCAGCAUCGCCGUUCGUCGCCCUUGCUGCAGCCACGACGACCCGACGCCCUCUCUGCCCGAGUGCUGUCUCGUCGCUUCACCACUGCACCUCCGCAUCAGCUUCUGCGACCCACACCAGCAGCCUAAGCGCUGCCUUCCGCCCGGCGCCCGACGUCCGCACACCCCCUUUUUGCCGCAGCCACCGUCUCCGCCACUGCGCCUCAGCCCGCGCCACCACCGCUGCGACCCGCGACCCUGCUGUUCGCCGGUCACCGACGCCGCGCCUCCCUGCUGCUGCUGCCGCCCAGUCCUUGCCGAAACUCCGACGCCGGCUGUCUCCCUCGCCCGCUCCAACGCCGACCAUCCUUCAUCCGAAGUUGUCCAGCAAGUUCAGUACUGUUGGUACCAUUUUCCUCGUGCAGGUCACUUGAGGCUUGAGAAUGGUGAAUUUGGAAUCGUUCCUUGCUGGUUUCCAUCUUGGAGAUAAUUUUUCCAAGCUAGGUAAUCUGUUUAGGUUAAAUUCAGUUCGACUAUACGAUUUCUUAGCUUGUGAUCCUAACUUAAUCGGUCAUAUAUAAUUGUUACCCGAUCAGGAAAUUUGUCAUAUUAAGCCAUAAUAAUAAAAAAUAUUGAACCGCGAGACAACGGGUUAGAUUUUUUAUUAUUUCAACUUUUCAGGGCAAAUUUAUGGAUUGCUUUGCAUAAUUGAUUUGCAUUAAGAUAAUAUGUCAUUGAUUUACAUUAGUGGAUUUUCAAUAGGACAUAUAUUUUGGUGCGUUAUCGUUAUCUACUUAUCACAUAUCAUGAAUCGUAUGUCAUAUCUAGGAUUUAGGUACACAUAUCUUUAUAGUGGUUUAGCUUAGAUCAAAUCAUGUUCACUUUCCCACACUAAUAAUAGCCACCAAUGGACUAUAAUCUAGUAGCAAUACUUUGAGAAGU
rnacentral:lncRNA from 1 species